rnacentral:rRNA from 1 species
UACGUAGGGUGCGAGCGUUGUCCGGAAUUACUGGGCGUAAAGAGCUCGUAGGUGGUUUGUCGCGUUGUUCGUGAAAUUCCCUGGCUUAACUGGGGGCGUGCGGGCGAUACGGGCAGACUGGAGUACUGCAGGGGAGACUGGAACUCCUGGUGUAGCGGUGGAAUGCGCAGAUAUCAGGAGGAACACCGGUGGCGAAGGCGGGUCUCUGGGCAGUAACUGACGCUGAGGAGCGAAAGCGUGGGGAGCGAACAGG